rnacentral:misc_RNA from 1 species
GUGUUUAGAAGUAAUAGACUUCAAACCUGAAACCUGCAUUGCUCCAGCACCAAGGACAAGCUGACAAGUCCUUGUAUUGAACAAUUUCAGGAUUUCAACAACACGGUGAACGACUUCUGAAGAUAGGCCCGGCAAGCUAUUAUUCAUCUCAAUACAUUCUGACAACAUCUUUACCAAAAUCAAGCCGCAGUUUACCAUAUGAUAUCCAACACCUCUGAAGAAAAGAAGUCUAGCAGAAGAUUUUCCACGUUCUCUUGAGUUAGUUUCAUUGCUCUGUGCUGUACUCUCUGAACGUGGAGUAGAAUCAGUGUGCUCUGCAUUUUGUGAUAUCUUUUGAAGUCUAGCUUCUGCCGUAGGGGAACCAUCACUGCCCAGGACCAUCUUAGGGCUGCUUGGUGCAAUAUCAGCUGAAACCUCAUCAGCAAGUUCACGGGUCUCAGAUUCUGAGCAGAACAGUGAUGUGACAAUUGUCUGGAACUCAUCAGGGACAUCAAUCUCAGCCCAAUUUUCCUGGUCAAGAAUGGCCCUCAUCUUUGCCAUCCUGGAUUCGUGUUGGAAAUCAAUAAAGGCCUUGGCCUGUGAUUGCAAUGUUCCCCGAAUACUAUAACCCAAUCUUCCACCA